rnacentral:rRNA from 1 species
GAUGAACGCUGGCGGCGUGCCUAAUACAUGCAAGUCGAGCGAACAGACGAGGAGCUUGCUUCUCUGACGUUAGCGGCGGACGGGUGAGUAACACGUGGAUAACCUACCUAUAAGACUGGGAUAACUUCGGGAAACCGGAGCUAAUACCGGAUAAUAUAUUGAACCGCAUGGUUCAAUAGUGAAAGACGGUUUUGCUGUCACUUAUAGAUGGAUCCGCGCCGCAUUAGCUAGUUGGUAAGGUAACGGCUUACCAAGGCAACGAUGCGUAGCCGACCUGAGAGGGUGAUCGGCCACACUGGAACUGAGACACGGUCCAGACUCCUACGGGAGGCAGCAGUAGGGAAUCUUCCGCAAUGGGCGAAAGCCUGACGGAGCAACGCCGCGUGAGUGAUGAAGGUCUUCGGAUCGUAAAACUCUGUUAUUAGGGAAGAACAUAUGUGUAAGUAACUAUGCACGUCUUGACGGUACCUAAUCAGAAAGCCACGGCUAACUACGUG